rnacentral:miRNA from 1 species
AGUCAUCCUGUCCUUUGAAGCUUUGAAGUCAGGCAUUGACUUCUCUCUAGCUAUGAAAGUUCAAGAUGGCAU